GAGCGCGUAGCUCAGCCGGUAGAGCAUCUGACUUUUAAUCAGAGGGUCCUGGGUUCGAGUCCCAGCGCGCUCACCA
rnacentral:tRNA from 31 species